rnacentral:rRNA from 1 species
UACAGAGGUCUCGAGCGUUAUUCGGAUUCACUGGGCGUAAAGGGCGCGUAGGCGGUUUGUACAGUCAGACGUGAAAUUCCUGGGCUCAACCUGGGGGCUGCGUUUUGAUACGUGCGGACUUGAGUUUCGGAAGAGGGUCGUGGAAUUCCCAGUGUAGAGGUGAAAUUCGUAGAUAUUGGGAAGAACACCGGUGGCGAAGGCGGCGACCU